AGGCUGACAGGAAGAGAAGUGAGCACGCAACGGAAACAGCACCGUCGCAUGCCAUUUUCCCCCGCUGUGUGCUCACUCUCUUCUGUCAACCC
rnacentral:pre_miRNA from 15 species